rnacentral:rRNA from 1 species
ACUCCUACGGGAGGCAGCAGUGGGGAAUAUUGCACAAUGGGGGAAACCCUGAUGCAGCCAUGCCGCGUGUGUGAAGAAGGCCUUCGGGUUGUAAAGCACUUUCAGUAGGGAGGAAGGUAGUGUAGUUAACACCUGCAUUAUUUGACGUUACCUACAGAAGAAGCACCGGCUAACUCCGUGCCAGCAGCCGCGGUAAUACGGAGGGUGCGAGCGUUAAUCGGAAUUACUGGGCGUAAAGCGCAUGCAGGUGGUUUGUUAAGUCAGAUGUGAAAGCCCGGGGCUCAACCUCGGAAUUGCAUUUGAAACUGGCAGACUAGAGUACUGUAGAGGGGGGUAGAAUUUCAGGUGUAGCGGUGAAAUGCGUAGAGAUCUGAAGGAAUACCGGUGGCGAAGGCGGCCCCCUGGACAGAUACUGACACUCAGAUGCG